GCUGGGCGUGGUGGCACGCGCCUGUAAUCCCAGCUACUUGGGAGGCUGAGGCAGGAGAAUUGCUUGAACCCAGGAGGUAGAGGUGGCAGUGAGCCAAGCAUCUAGCCACUGCACUCCAGCCUGGGUGACAGAGCUAGACUCCGUCUCAA
rnacentral:SRP_RNA from 1 species